AAGCUCUACAGACCAGACCAGGCCGCUCGCUUCAUUAAUAUGCUAAUGCAGAAGAUGAAAUGAAGUUCAAUACACGCAUUACGGCCCAUAUCUCUGCUUUCAGUACUCAAAUCAACAAUCAGUCAGUGCUCAUGUGACCGUGAGGUCCACCAAGGCUUUUUAAAGCCACUCUGUGGAGCAUGACCUCUCUGUGCUCUACCCUCUGGCCUAACAGCAUUCUGCUAUUCUAUAUAAACUAAGCACUAAACUAAAUGGACUGAUGGAAAGAUGGAUGUUUGGAGAGAGCACGGGAGCCCUUUGUUUCUUCACCCCCACCCCUUUAAUGGAAAAUGCAUUGCUGAAAGUUCCAGGCUGCUGUAGCAAUUUGACCAUUCGGCCACCUGCUGUUUUGCGGCUCUGCCCCUCAUGCCAGGUGAGGUUUCCACCUGCGCAACGGUUCAGCUGGUACUUAAAGUCCUCUGGAAGGGCCCUGUACUCCACCGCAGGCCGGCAGAAAGUAAAACUGGAGGCCGCUAUCAUAGACACACAGACCUCAUGAGAAGCAGUGCUGUCUUGUCAGUCAGCAACCCAAGAGGCAUUGUGGGAGAUUCAGUACAUACUCAGUGUGCAAACACUUAAAUGUAAAUUGCUUGGCACAAAAACAAAUAUGCUUGAAUGCCAAAUGCUUAAAUGGAAAUGUGUUUUGCUCUGAGGUUAAAAUAAAGUUCCUAUUGGAUGUAUGUUCUGGCUGUAUGGUUCCACACAAGGGUCUUUCUUUGUUAUAGAAAAAGGUAAGAAAGAAAUGGUCCCUUACAGCACCUACAUUUU